AAAUUAAAUAAUAUUGCCAGUGUGUUUUCGGGUUAUUUCAAACAUUUUAAAGAUUUAGUAAAUCGUCUGCGAGAAUGGCGUCCGAAUGCAUAGAAGAUUUUCCUCUAGACGGGUUGUUACCUAAGAAAGAGACUGGUGCUUAUUCAUUUCUUACGAAAUACCCGAAUUAUGACGGUAGAAGAGUUCUCAUCGCUAUUCUUGACACGGGUGUAGACCCAGGUGCGCCUGGAUUGCAGGAAACUCCAGAUGGAAGUCCCAAAAUAGUUGACAUAAUUGACACAACUGGGUCUGGUGAUGUUGACACUUCCAAAGUUGAAGAAGUGAAAGAUGGAGAAAUAACUGGUGUUACAGGUCGUAAACUCAAGAUACCAGACACUUGGAACAACCCUAGUGGUUUGUACCAUGUAGGAGUAAAGCCCAUCUUUGAGUUGUUUCCAAAGAAGUUGCAGGAGAGGUUUAUUAAAGAAAGGAAGGCCCAGGCUACGGUGCUGGAGUCCAGGGAGGGGGAGGAAGAGGGCAGUGAGGGACUGCCCACCGUGACUGCGGACGAUAUCAAGGAGACCUACCAGACCCUCCAGCAGUGGGUGGAUCUCAAUGAUGCCAAGGUGUCUCAGUUCACAAUGAUGUAUGCCCAGUACAUGAAGCAAUAUGGCAGAGCCUUGAAGAUUGCACAAAAACUUUAUCAGGAGAAAGCAAAUCCUGAGAUGGAGAUGACUGCAUUGAAGAUACUGAGGGAGCUGGGAUGGGACCACUGUGUGGAUCAUGUAGAGAACUUGCUCCUUGUCAAAUGCCCCAAGACUUACACACCUUUCUAGACGCCUGCUAACUAAUUAUAUAAUAGAACUGUUCUAUCACUCUGCACCUUCAUACGUAAAUGUCAGUUACAAUGUAGUACAUUGUCAUUGCAUGUAUCGAUAAAUACUGUGAACUGUUCUUGUCAAAUCUGAUACGACCAGUGUAUGGAACUCUUUGAUUAACAUGAUAAAACCAGCUGCUACUGCUGCUGUAGGUAUUUAUUGUAAAAGUUUGUCUUAACGUAUACUAUACUGUGACUUAAGUUGACCGUUCUGUAAUGUGUUGGGUGUGGGUAAAUGUUGUACUUCGUGUACCGCUGUCACAUAGUUGUUAGUCUUGUCAUGAGUGUCGUCAUCAAUGAUGGCCAAGUAUAUACCAAAAUAUUUAAACGGGAGAUUUGUGUAAUCAGAUGAAGUUUUUGUCAGUAUUUAUAGCAUUAAUGUCUAGUGUUUGACACAUGAAUCUGUUUUGAGGAGUUGGUUUAAAGAAAUGCUGUCAGAUUUUACGGUACAAUGUGCAAUCAGUUGUUCAGAAGAGUAGCACAUUUCUUAUCUGUGUCACUAUCAGUGAAUAUAGUCACGGUGCUCAGUGCGUGUGUGUGUGUUGUGGGUGUGUGUUGUGGGUAUGUGGAACAGUAACUGGUUACCUCAUUUUAAUUGACAGAUAUGCUUACAUGUACAGGGAUUCAAUUGUUUAAAAAUCAGGAUUUAGUAGUUGUAUAAUAAUGAAUAUAUAUACGUAUCUUAUUUUUCUAAAAACCAUCACCAAAAUCUAGUUUCAACAGAGUGCAGAAAAAAUUGUUAUACAUGAGUGGAAAUUUUUAUAGUGGUUUUAAGGGCUCAAAUUUUACUUUAUUAUUUAUGUGUUGCCAUGGCAAUUAACAUAAUGCAUGUGAUGUAUUAUUUCAGUUGUUUACCAAACCUGAUUCAAUACAGUAUUGGGCAUUUAUAGAACAAGAAUGGUUUUAAUCUUUUUUAAUUUGGAAUACUAUUUUGUAUGUAGAUUUCACUGAUUGUUGUAUACAGUAUAUGAAAUGAGGUUUGUGUAUACCAACCUAUCGGAGAAACUCUUUAUUGUCAUGUCUGUGAUAUUGUCUACAAAUCAGAUCUGCUUUUAAUGGAUAUUUUAGUGGAGAUUAUUGAAUUGUCUAUUUUAAAUUCAUGUAGAAAAGAUUCAUUGUCUAGCUUAGUAACAAUAUUGUAGAUUGUAGUGAGCAACAAAAGCAUAAUGAUUAAAGAAAUGAUAGGGGUUUUUUAACAAAAAAAAAGAGAUGUGUUUUAAGAUUUUAUUUGUAUGUAAAGAAGGGCUCUAAGAUUUGAUGCAUCAGAUAAACAUGUACAUUUUGUGUUGACAAAUGCCAUCCCAUUGUACAUUGUCAACUGAAGAGAAUGUGAUUCACUGCAGCGAGCAAUACUACAAAAUAAUAAAGUUUUUCUAUGGC
rnacentral:misc_RNA from 1 species